AAAUAUGCAGUGGAGUCUGCUUCUUCUUAUUUUGAUGGGUCAGUGUAGUGCAGUGGUUUGUCAGCUCUAUGAGUAUCACUACAUUAAUGUUAAUAAGACCUGGACUGAAGCUCAGCAGUACUGCAGAGAGAAACACACUGACCUGGCCACAGUGACUAACAUGACAGACAUGAAGAGACUCCUCAGUAACUCAGCAGGAGAUAUGAGGGAAGCUUGGAUUGGUCUAUAUGAUCAAACAGGAGGUAACAGGACAUGGCGCUGGUCUCUGCCUGGAGUGGAGUUCAAUAAAAGUUACCAACCGUGGCAAGUAAAUGAGCCAAAUGAUGCAGGAGGGAUGCAGAACUGUGGAAUCAUAUGGAAGACCCUGAAGUGGGGAGACUUAGAAUGUCAGCGACCUGAAUUCUUUCUCUGCUAUAAUGACAGGAAUUCAUCAAAGAAAUUCCACUUGAUUCAAGAAAAGAAAAACUGGACAGAAGCUCAGAGUUACUGCAGGAAAGAACACACAGACCUAAUCAGUGGACUGACACAGCUCCAGGAUGAGGAGGUAAAGACAGAAUGCAGUUCUGUUGGA